rnacentral:rRNA from 1 species
UACGGGGGGGGCAAGCGUUGUUCGGAAUUACUGGGCGUAAAGGGUUUGUAGGUGGCUUGCUAAGUCAGACGUGAAAUCCCUCAGCUUAACUGGGGAACUGCGUCUGAGACUGGCAAGCUCGAGUGCAGGAGAGGAACGCGGAAUUCCAGGUGUAGCGGUGAAAUGCGUAGAUAUCUGGAGGAACACCGGUGGCGAAGGCGGCGUUCUGGACUGCAACUGACACUGAAAAACGAGAGCCAGGGGAGCAAACGGG